UCGAUGCUCUCUCACACAGUCACGAAAUUACUGUGCAGCAAAGAAUCGCGAAACAACUUGUCACCGAACGUCUGCGUUUAUUUAAUUUCGUUCAUCAAAUAUAAAAAUUAAUUCAUUGCGAAAACACCGUUUGAUCAUUUUGGUCUAGUGAAUAGUGCGGUUUAUGCCAUGUUAUAUUGUGUUGCGUUUAUUAAAUUUCAUGUGAAAUGUCUGACCAUUUUGUUUUAAAUAUUUUAAACGAAUUGAAAGUUCCAGAUUUCCUUAUUGAAGAAUUCCAAAAACAUGGAAUUGAUGAGGAAGUCUUCAAAAAUUUAACUGAGUUAAUGGUAUGUGAACUGGUUCCGCAAAUAAGAUUCCGUUGCAAGAUAUUCAAAAAGAUUGAAUAGGUAGUGAAAAACUUACAAAUGUACGUAACUAUUAUACAACUAUACAACCAUCAUGACACAUGGCAAGCAACGUGUAACGACGUAGGGACGAUCCUUACCGUCCCAACCCUAACCAUUAGUUAUUUUUUUUAAGUAUAAUAAUAAUAACAACAACAACAAUAAUGCAACAGCUGAUAUACGUCACAUAAAAAUGUAUUAUGUAUGUAACUUCGGGUCAGAAUCUACAGGCUAAAUGGAAUUGCUGAAAUUAGUAUCUGUGGUAUUAUGUAUUAUUAUAUUUAUAUGUAUUUUAUGUCUACAUUUAUAUUUGGGACAACACAGUGCAAGUACCUUCUGUACAAUAAAAAGACAGUUUUUUAUUUUAUUAAAUGUACGCAGGAAAUAAGGAAGCUGCAGAAAGACUAGGGGAACACGGAGGAAUGACGAUCGCUUGAGGCAACAUUUUACUACGGCCACAAAUUGCGUUACAUUGAUUUA